rnacentral:lncRNA from 1 species
AGGGGUUCCUGCCGUAGUCCCGGCGGAUCCAGGCGCGGUACUGCUGGGACAGAGCCAGGCGGGGUGCAGGGGUCACAGGGGGCUGUGCCGCCCCCCACCCCAGCGUGUUGCAAAGCCCUAAAUCAAGGCAGGGCAUCCCAACCAGGACACGGUCACGGCACCGGUCCCUGUUUUGCAGGAGCUGCCACGCCAUGCAGCGUGCACACAUCGUACGAAACCAAGCCCUACACAAACACCAGCCAGCCCCUCGGAGCACCCCAGGCCCACAGAGCUGGCAGCAGCCCCGUUUUUUUCCCCCCCCACCGUGCUGCAGCCUCUGGCAGCUUCAUUCACUUUCCCUUGCCGGGAAGCUGCUCAGCUCCCCGUGGGGCUGAGUUACCAGAAAGCAAGCGUCCCCACGCUUUCUCCCCGCUGGGGCAGGCCGGUCUCGCGGCCCCAAACGCCGCAGGCAGGUCGGCUCUUGCAGGCUGUGCAGGGCUGUUUGCAGAGCGGUUUGCUCAUCGCAGCCCUCCUCCCGUCCCCACAGAGGCUCUGCUGGCGUCCGGGUGGCCCGGGGCCAGCUGGCACCCGGCAGAGAUCCGGAGGCGGCUUCGGAGCAGGAGAUGGCCCCAUGGAAAGGCUUCCCGACACCGCCGCGGCACGGAGCUGCGGGAUCUGUGCCCAGAAGCGUGGGCAGGGAAGGGCAGCUCAGCUGGAGCCGCCGUGCCUGUGGCCCCGGGCACGAGAACAGCUUCGGAGCCUGACAAAAGGAGCGGGGACCCAGCGAACAGGCACCCAGCGAGCAGGGCGCACGGGGAGGAGCGGCCAGAGAGGGCUGGCUUGUGCCCAGCGGUGCGAAAUGCUCCGCAAAGCGCACGGAGCCUGCAGGCAGGGAUGGGAAAGCUGCAAGGGGGAAAGGGUGGAGCGUCCGGCCCCCGGCAGCACCCAUGGGUGCCGCCAGCAGGGCCAGCACUCAAUAGCUGGGAACACUGGGACAGGCGUCAGCUUCAGGGAGGCAGGGGGCUGUUAAAACACCCCCGGUUUUGGGGGCCGGCAGCUCCCACGUGCCCCGGCCUCGAUGCCUCCAGACAAGGUGCCCCCAAACAGCAGUGGGGCUCCGGCCUCCUGGGAUCGGGGGAAAGACAGGAGAAAGCCUGA